GUAGGGGGCGAGCGUUGUCCGGAAUCAUUGGGCGUAAAGAGCUCGUAGGCGGCUCGGUAAGUCGGGUGUGAAACCCCCAGGCUCAACCUGGGGACGCCACCCGAUACUGCUGUGGCUAGAGUCCAGUAGGGGAGUGUGGAAUUCCCGGUGUAGCGGUGAAAUGCGCAGAUAUCGGGAGGAACACCAGCGGCGAAGGCGGCACUCUGGGCUGGAACUGACGCUGAGGAGCGAAAGCGUGGGUAGCAAACAGGAUUAGAUACCCUGGUAGUCCACGCCGUAAACGUUGGGCACUAGGUGUGGGGACCCUCCAACGGUUUCCGUGCCGUAGCUAACGCAUUAAGUGCCCCGCCUGGGGAGUACGGCCGCAAGGCUAAA
rnacentral:rRNA from 1 species